AACGAACGCUGGCGGCAGGCUUAACACAUGCAAGUCGAGCGCCCCGCAAGGGGAGCGGCAGACGGGUGAGUAACGCGUGGGAAUCUACCCAUCUCUACGGAAUAACGCAUGGAAACGUGUGCUAAUACCGUAUACGUCCUUCGGGAGAAAGAUUUAUCGGAGAUGGAUGAGCCCGCGUUGGAUUAGCUAGUUGGUGGGGUAAAGGCCUACCAAGGCGACGAUCCAUAGCUGGUCUGAGAGGAUGAUCAGCCACACUGGGACUGAGACACGGCCCAGACUCCUACGGGAGGCAGCAGUGGGGAAUAUUGGGCAAUGGGCGCAAGCCUGUUCCAGCCAUGCCGCGUGAGUGAUGAAGGCCCUAGGGUUGUAAAGCUCUUUCACCGGUGAAGAUAAUGACGGUAACCGGAGAAGAAGCCCCGGCUAACUUCGUGCCAGCAGCCGCAGUAACAC
rnacentral:rRNA from 1 species